UACAGAGGUGGCAAGCGUUGUUCGGAAUUACUGGGCGUAAAGGGCGCGUAGGCGGCCUUCUAAGUCAGUCGUGAAAUCCCCCGGCUUAACCGGGGAACUGCGUCUGAUACUGGAUGGCUUGAGUUUGGGAGAGGGAUGCGGAAUUCCAGGUGUAGCGGUGAAAUGCGUAGAUAUCUGGAGGAACACCGGUGGCGAAGGCAGCUCGCUGGGACGGUACUGACGCUAAGGCGCGAAAGCGUGGGGAGCGAACAGG
rnacentral:rRNA from 1 species